rnacentral:rRNA from 1 species
CAUUUAGUGGGGGACAACAUUCCGAAAGGAAUGCUAAUACCGCAUACGUCCUACGGGAGAAAGCAGGGGAUCUUCGGACCUUGCGCUAAAUGAUGAGCCUAAGUCGGAUUAGCUAGUUGGUGGGGUAAAGGCCUACCAAGGCGACGAUCUGUAGCGGGUCUGAGAGGCUGAUCCGCCACACUGGGACUGAGACACGGCCCAGACUCCUACGGGAGGCAGCAGUGGGGAAUAUUGGACAAUGGGCGGAAGCCUGAUCCAGCCAUGCCGCGUGUGUGAAGAAGGCCUUAUGGUUGUAAAGCACUUUAAGCGAGGAGGAGGCUACUUAGAUUAAUACUCUAGGAUAGUGGACGUUACUCGCAGAAUAAGCACCGGCUAACUCUGUGCCAGCAGCCGCGGUAAU